UGGGGAAUAUUGGACAAUGGGCGAAAACCUGAUCCAGCCAUGCCGCGUGUGUGAAGAAGGUCUUCGGAUUGUAAUGCACUUUAAGUUGGGAGGAAGGGCAGUAAGCGAAUACCUUGCUGUUUUGACGUUACCGACAGAAUAAGCACCGGCUAACUCUGUGCCAGCAGCCGCGGUAAUACAGAGGGUGCAAGCGUUAAUCGGAAUUACUGGGCGUAAAGCGCGCGUAGGUGGUUCGUUAAGUUGAAUGUGAAAGCCCCGGGCUCAACCUGGGAACUGCAACCAAAACUGGCGAGCUAGAGUAGGGCAGAGGGUGGGGGAAUUUCCUGUGUAGCGGUGAAAUGCGUAGAUAUAGGAAUGAACACAAGUGGCGAAGGCGAACACCUGGGCUCAUACUGACACUGAGGUGCGAAAGCGUGGGGAGCAAACAGG
rnacentral:rRNA from 1 species